ACCGCCCCCCCACCCCCCACGCGCGCGCGCACGCACACGCACGCGCACACACAGAAUGGCGGGGACAGGAAAAGUUAGUGAAAGAAGAGCACGUGUCCCUGGUGAAUGCUGCUCUGCGAAUAGGUACCAGGGAAACGGAAGGGCUUCGAGCUCAAGGAGCAAACGGCAGGGCCAGAGCUUCUUCCCCCGGCCCGCGCGGAGAGACCGGCGGAUCGCACACCUGCUCCUGCCUCCGGCCUCUGCCAGGCCAGGCGGGCCGGCUGCAGGCUCUCAGCUCCUGGCCGCUGCUCCCAGCUCCACCCGUCCUCCGGGAAGGAGCCCCUCCCAAGGCAAGUUCAACUGGGUUCCUUGGCAGCCGAAGUCUACACGGACCCCGCAGGGAGUGGUGGAGAAAAAGAUCUGGAUCCAGAGAAUCUUCAGCGAAGCCUGAACGGCUCCUGCCAAGACACCGAUUUAACAAUCUGGACUGUUUUCUUUAAUCUGUGAAUCUGGGGUUUGGUGUCUGCGUUUGGACAGAAUCAAAAUGCUUUCCUUUGAUAGAAAGCAAGCGAGCAAGCACAUCCUAUGAGGCUGGAGAGCCUGCUCGCCAAGCCCAGGAAACGCAGAGGUACCUGACUCUUCUGAAGCCAGCUCUUACUCAAGGAAGCUGAGCGGCAGAAGACCAAUAUAUUGGUGAUGCUGGCCCACGAACUCUAAGGACAGGUCCUGAAGAGGAGGGGGCGCCAGACGGAGGCUUCCACAUGAUUCCUGGACAAAUCUGUUUCCCCACAGAUGGUGGUGUUAAAUCAUCUAAAACAGACUCUGCACAUCCCAGCUAUUGGUGCUCCCUAGCCCUCUCUGCAUCCCUGGGUAGCGCUCCCUUGGACUUCAGAUAUAAACUGUCUGAUAUAUGUUCACGAAGCUUUCUCCCAAGUCCACUAAUGUCAAAUGAUAUGAUCUCAAUAAAAUACUUAAGAAAUAAACCAAAGCUAAUGUCCUUUGAUGAAAGAGGGAAAAUUACAACGUCCUAGAGUGUGUUUAAUGCAAACAAGAGAAGACGUCUUGGCAAACCUUUCAGUGAGUUUUAUCUCCGUUUAUCAUGUGUCCUCAUUAUCUGACCUGUAAUCUGCA